UGUACCAUGGAGUCUGCUUAGAAGUGUGUGUGUGUGUGUGUCUGUGUGUCUUGGAUUCUGCUGAGAAGUGUGUAAGUGAGUGUGUGUGUGUGUGUCUUGGAUUCUGCUGAGAAGUGUGUGUGUGUAAGUGUGUGUGUGUGUCUUGGAUUCUGCUGAGAAGUGUGUGUGUGUGUGUGUGUGUGUGUGUGUGUGUGUGUGUGUGUGUGUGUGUGUGUGUGUGUGUGUGUGUGUGUGUGUCUUGGAUUCUGCUGAGAAGUGUGUGUGUGUGUGUCUUGGAUUCUGUGUUUGUUGCUGUGUGAUGGACCUGCUGUGAUCAUUUUCUCCAUCAUGUAUAAAUGAGUAGCAGAAAUCUGCGAGUGUGUGAGUCUUUGAGCUUCUUUCUGUUUGUCAUCCUCCUGAGGCCGAGAGGACUGUUAACAGAAUAAUGUCUUCUGUUGUCUGACACUCGUCCCUAGUGAGCAGAGGAGAAGGGGAAACUCAGAAACAGAGAAAGAGAGAGAGAGAGAGAGAGAGAGGGAAAGAGAGAGAGAGAGUGUGUGUGAGAGAGAAAA
ensembl:lncRNA